AGCAGGCCUCCCGCUGAGCAGGGAGUCCGAUGUGGGGCUCGAUCCCAGGAUGCUGGGAUCAUGACCUGAGCCGAAGGCAGACGCUUAAUGACUGAGCCACCCAGGCUCCCCUAUAAAUUUCCCUUUAUGCCAGGCUUUCACUGAGUCCUGUAAGUUUUGGUAUGUUGUGUUAUUGUUUUCAUUCACCUAAAAGUAAUUUUAAUUUACCUUGUGAUUUCUUUUUGCUCUUUUAUUUAAGAAUCUGUCAUAUGUGUUAUUUUCCUGAAUUUCUGUUCAUUGUUGAUUUCUCAUUUUAUUCUAAUGUGGUCAGAGAAUAUGCUUUGUAUAAUUUCUAUCAUUUCAAAUGUAUCAGGAGUUGUUUUAUUGCCUAAUAUGGUCUUUCCUGGAGAAUGUUUCAGGUAUACUGGAGAGGAGUGCGCUGUUGGCUGGAUGUUUCAUGGGGAUCUGUGAAGUCUAGUUGGUUGAUAGUACUGCUCAGGUCUUCUGUGUCCUUGCAGAUGUACAGGUGCAGGAGGGGAACAUUGACAGUAAGUGCCAGAGAAGGCAACGCUGUGAAGUUGGAUUAUAGAGACAAUUUAGUGCAAUAAUACCUUUCCUCUUCUGAGAUUUAAUGUCCUUGGUUUCCAAAUCCUGACAUGAAAACAUAUCAGCAGGAUGAAACAAUGGGCUAAAUCUGGUAAAAUGAAAUUUAACAAGAAUACAUUAUCAGUCAUUGUACUUGGGCUAAUGGUAAUUGCAUAUGGUGGGGAUGCUAGCUCACCAGAAUUUUUUGUGAGGAAAGAUCAUAGCACUUCAGUUGCUGCUACAAUCUUAGAAGGAACCUACUAUGAUGAGGGUUGACAAAAAAAAAAAAAAAAAAGAAAGAAAGAAAAGGAAACCACUUGGGCAAUAUAAAGAGAAUAAAAGCACCCAGCAUGGGGGAGCUAUCCACUGUGUAUAUACUCUCAGACCACGUUCACAUUUCAAGAGGGGGAUUGAAAGAAUGAAUUCUAUUCAGAAAGGAGUUGAAUAUCCAUGGAAGUAACAAUUCUGGAGCUACCUCAUGAGAAAUAUUUGAAGGAACUCUACACUCAGAGAAGUAGAACUUGGUCAGGGAGCAAGUUUCAUGGCAUUUCAUUUUACUUAUGAAAAAGACUUACGUGUAUAUGAUUUCAUUCAUGUGUGGGAUCUAAAAAACAAAACAAUGAGUACCCAAACAACAAUCAGAAUCAGACCUAUAAAUACAGAGAUAAUUUUCUCACAAUUAGGCUUGGUAGAUGAAGGAGGUUUUCUUGAGGGUUAGUGACUCUUUCAUAACCAGGGAAGGCUGGAUGCCCACUUGUCUGGCUGUGUUGAGGUACCCCUCUGUGGGAUGUGAAAUGUGGCAGGGAAAAAGGGUAGGACAUCAGGGAGAUUGUCCCUGUCAUCCCUUUCUAAUGGGUCAUAUGUGGUGGGGUGGCUAAUUAUCUAUCAAAAUCCCUUCUCGUGGAAAGAGGGUCAUAGCUGAGUAUGUGGUCUUACAGAAAAGACUACUUGGAGAAAUUUCUUAACAAUGGCAUGAGAUUAGAACUAACAUAUUCCACUUCUGGGCUGUGCCCUUAAGCCACUAGAUAUGCCUCAUUCCCUUCCGUCAGACUGGAGGCAGAAUGUAGUGGGCACAGCCCUGACCAGGCAGAUGAUCACCUAGGGGUGGCAGAGGCUCAGGAUGGGGGAGGGAGGAGUCCUUAAGAAAAAAAGAUUGCAAAAUUACAAAUACAGAAUUAGAUUAAGGGUAAAUAUUUAAUUAGCAUGAGAAGUUACAAAUUAAAAAAGCCAACAACAAACCUGAGUAUAACAAACAUCAGACAACCAGAAGAUCAGCACUCUAGUUUUCUCAUCUAUCCCUCUGAAACACUCAUAAUACAUUUCUCUGUAUUUUUUUUCACCUGGGUUCUGUUUGUGGCUUCCUAGGACAGUGCUUCUCUCAUAUCAUUUUCUACAGAGAGAAUAGAAAUAGAGUUGGGUACUUUUUCUAGAAUAGUUUAUUUUUUAUUUCAAUUUUUAAUGGUUUGAAAAGUUAUUUUAGUUUCACAAUUCCUUGUUGGUGUUGCCAUGUAAAUUUUUAAGAUUGGUAUCACAUUUAGGAAGACGUGUGUCAUGUUUAUUCUAUGUCUAAGCUGUAUUAUUUCAGGCUAUUCCAAGUUUUCUUAUUCAGGGUCAGAAUUUAAAUCCCGGUUGAAACGAUGAGACUCACGGACAUCAUCAUUGUGGGGCUCUGAUGCGUUCUACUGAGGCUGCGUGCAUGUCAGGGGCGUCCUAACACUGCCCACCAGCAACUCCCCUUCCUCUGGCUCUUAGCCUCAUUAUGGACACAGGUAACCAGCACGUUGAGAACUGUCAGAAGGAGAAACAAGAUCUAGAAAGACUGAGGGAAGAGCAAAGCAGGAACUCAGGUAUUACAGACCCGGACUGAGACUGUAACUGAGAAUUCUAGAACCUUCAGACCCAUUCGGGUGGAGUGAAGGAGGCAUAUUUAGUAUCUACGUGAACAAUAUAUCUGGGAUUCCGGUUUCUUCAUUCUUUGACAUUCUUACUUUUGAAGAAGCUCCAUCCUGGUAGAAAUGCAACUAUCAACUCCUUUCCUGCCACCUUAUCUCCAGCAUCCAGACAAUGCUCUGGCAACAGCUAGGGGCUCUAGAAGUAUUUGACCACUGAAGAAUGAUGGAUGGCUGAUGCGUGGAAUUAUGCCGUUAUGAUUGCUCCCUGCCUCACAAAGCUUGUGGCUACAUUCAGUCAGCAGAGUUCAGUGUUCCUUGAGGGAAGAUCUGGCUUUUUCCAAACCUAUCCAGGAUCCCGUAUUGCAUUUUGUCAUCAUGUUUCUCUCGCCUUCUCUGAACUGUGACACGAACUCAAUACUUUUGGGGAGGAACAGUCAGCGAUUUUCAAGAGCCUGCCAUGUUUAACGUGUUCACAUGAAGAAAAUAUCUGGCAAGUCACAGACCCUUUCACUUAAGCUGAUAAAUGGCCAUUCUUUGUGGUCCUUGAGAGCAGAAGAUCAUUUCUGCAUCUACCCCAAUGUCUAUGUCAUGCUUUGCACAAAGAGCUGAUGAAUCUUCCAAAGAUGCCCAAGAACGGAGAAGAUCCUAGAGGCCAGAAGUUCAAAAUCAGGGUGUUGUCCUGGUCAUGCUCCUUCUGAAGCCUAGAAAGAAGAAUCCUUCCUUGCCUCUUCUAACGUGGCUCCCAGCAGUGUCUGCCAUUCCUUGGCUUGCACCUGUAUCACCCCCAUCUCCAGACUCCCCAUCUUCACAUGGCCUUCUUCCUUCUAUGUGUCUUCUCCUCUUCUUAUAAGGAUACUAGUCAUUCGAUUUAGGAUUUACUCUAAGCCAGUAUGAUCUCCUAUCUUUCUUCAACCAAUUGUUUCUAUGAAGAUCUUAUUUCCAAGUAAGGUUCACAAUCUGACUUUUUUGGUUCAAAAAAAUUUUCGCUGAAACUACUUUGGCCAGAACUGGGACCUAGAAUCCAGCCACAGCACUAGGCAAACAAGCAUUUCAGGAAACCCAGAGCCCACAUCAUAAUUGGUUGUAAAUAUCUCACUAGUAGUUCAAAGGGCUUCUUGGUGAGAAAAAGCCCUUCUUCCAUCACAACACUGUACUUCUAUCUGCAGGAAAGUGUAUAAAUCUAACAUGACCACACCCAGAAAUGGCUCCCCUGGAGGUGAGCAGUCUACAUUCUCUGCAACCGUUCACAGCGUCUGUAUCCUCAAGAUACUCAGUUACUGCUCAGGACUCCUCCUUGGGAAUCCAUAACAACAUUCAGGAAGUGAAAAUGUGCAGUAGUCUGAAUUUCAUGUGAAGGGGUGCGGAGCAUCCAGAUUGGGGGAGUUGCAGAGUAUGUGACCGCAUUUAUACUCAUCAACUCUUUAAGAUAUGAAGUGAAGCAUUUGAGGUACAAUUUUUUUUUCUGAGAAAUCCACCCUUUAUCUAAACAAUUCCAAGGAAGUUCAAAGCAAUCACAUUUUGUAAGUAAUUUACAUGGACAAUUUAGGCAGAGGUAGGGGGUAUCUGAAUUGUUGAGAAAAUGGUCUUAUUUCUCUUUUUAGACUUUGUGGCAGGAACUUUUUUAACCUGUUUGAUCCUGGAAGUCCCUCAACUUCUCAGUGCUUCUUUUAUCCAGCUGUUCCAGGAAGGCUCAGGGAGGCUCAGGACACAGGUGGUUUGGAGGUAAAAAUGUUACAUGUUUUGUUUGUUCUAAUUAUUUGCUUGCAGCAUAUGGAGAGAGAGAGAGUCAAUUAGGCAGCUAGGAUACCGACCACCAAGAUCUUUAUAGAUUCAGACUUGCACUUGCGUCCUGAUGGGACACAAACAGGAAGCUAUUUGUUUAAGGGAUCCUAACAUUUUAACUGCCACCAAAUUUAGCCCCUUCUAGAAUGAAAAGCAAGAGCUGUUUAAUUGCCCUCAGCAUCUCUAAACAACAAUUAAGAAUAGGAAGUGAAAGGCACUGAGUCCAAUUCCAACUGCAAAAGCAAUAAUUAAUGAGAAGUAAGAGGCAUUGCUUAUUAUAGUUUCUUUUAGUUCUGAUGACUGACAUCAGUUGGAUGUUCACUGUGAAUUUCAUAAUUUAUUUCCACAGACAGCUUGGACACGCUAAAUAUGUAAUAUAAGCCUUGUUUGUAUGCAGUAGAAAAUACUAUGAAAUGAUUGGUUUAUAACAGAAAGUAAUGGUUUCCUAUGAACUGUUUUCCUGGACUCAAUAGAAAUAAUUUAUGUGAAAAAAAAACCAUAAUUGGUGAGCAAUGGGAUGCCAGCUGAGAAUUCUGGGGGACUCUUCAUAACUGAUAUUUGAAGUGUUAAUUUGAAUAGGGAGGUUGUACUUGGUUGGAUUUGCAUAUGUUGGGCCAAACAUGGCUGCGACCACGAGUGUAUCAGGACUGUCCACCAUGGAAACUUAUAUAUGUGUCCAGACUGUCAGGUCUAAGCAAAGGCCAAGAGGUCUUGGUCCAUCUGUGAUAACCUGUUUGCCUGUAUGACUUAGCCAAAGAUCUGCUACCGUAAAAUUUACGUGUAACAGCCAGUACCAAUACCAUUAAAUUUACUAUAAUAGCCAGUACCAACACCAUUAAAUUUAUUGCAAGCAUACAUUAAACAAUUGCCAACCAUCUCACAUAUCGAGAGGCAUGCAUGGGUCUACCUUGUGGAUUAUCUAGGGAAAUUUUUAAAUAUUUAUUUUUUAUUUAUUUAUUUAUUUAUUUAUUUAUUUAUUUAUUUAUUUAUCUUUUCUAGGGAGGGGGGCGGAUAUUUUAAAAUCACAAACAACUUGUUCCUGCCACUCAGUAGGCUUUUGGGCUGUGGAUCCAGCUACCACUUAGGGAGUGCUUAGGGGAUACAAACCACUAUGGAUUUUAACCCAAGGGGUUAGGGACAAUUGGGAUGAUCAAUGCUUUUUAAAUGUAGGUAUACAUUUAGUGUGGGUAUCAAAAGUCAUACAUGGGGGCACCUGGGUGGCUCAGUCGUUAAGCGUCUGCCUUCGGCUCAGGUCACGAUCGCAGAGUCCUGGGAUCCAGCCCCGCGCCGGGCUCCCUGCUCAGCGGGAAGCCUGCUUCUCC